GACGUAGGGGGCUAGCGUUGCCCGGAUUCACUGGGCGUAAAGCGCGCGUAGGCGGUUCGGCAAGUCGCCCGUGAAAGCCCCUGGCUCAACUGGGGGAGGUCGGGCGAUACUGCCGGGCUAGAGGGCGGCAGAGGGAGGUGGAACGGCCGGAGUAGCGGUGAAAUGCGUAGAUACCGGCCGGAAUCCCGAUGGCGAAGGCAACCUCCUGGGCCGUUCCUGACGCUGAGGCGCGAAAGCUGGGGGAGCGAACCGGAUUAGAUACCCGGGUAGUCCCAGCCCUAAACGAUGCGGGCUAGGUGUCGGCCCGUUAUUGGGUCGGUGCCGCAGCUAACGCGUUAAGCCCGCCGCCUGGGGAGUACGGUCGCAAGGCUGAAACUCAAGGGAAUUGACGGGGGCCCGCACAAGCGGCGGAGCAUGUGGUUUAAUUCGAUGCUAAGCGAAGAACCUUACCCGGGCUUGACAUGCGGGUGGUACCGACCCGAAAGGGAAGGGACCCAGGGCCUUCGGGCGCCUGGGAGCCCGCACAGGUGCUGCAUGGCUGUCGUCAGCUCGUGUCGUGGGACGUCGGGUUAAGUCCCAGAACGAGCGCAACCCCUG
rnacentral:rRNA from 1 species